AACGUUCAACAACGGAUCUCUUGGCUCUCGCAUCGAUGAAGAACGCAGCGAAAUGCGAUAAGUAAUGUGAAUUGCAGAAUUCAGUGAAUCAUCGAAUCUUUGAACGCACCUUGCGCUCUUUGGUAUUCCGAAGAGCAUGCCUGUUUGAGUGUCA
rnacentral:rRNA from 1 species